GAUUGCAUCACUACAUCAAGGUCACGGAGCUGGGAUUUGAACCCAGAAAUUGCAGGCCCCUUGAGAGCUGGAAGAUUUGUCUUGUUUUCUUCAUGGCUGUGUCCCCAGCACCCAGAAGCAUGCCCGGAUCACAAGGCUCAGAGAGAGACAGCUCCACCCUGAGAGUCACACAGCCUGUGGGGAGCGUGUGAGCAUUUUUUAAUUUAAUUGGCAUGCAAUGGCCUGCGCACGUUUAAAACAUACAAUUUGAGGAGUUCUGUCAUACAUCUGGUACCCUGCAACCACAGGCACGAUCAAGACAGGGAACAAACACUUCUACCACUGCAGAAAGGUCCUCGGGCCCCUCCAUGUCCCCACCUCCCAUCCCCAGGCAACCAGCAGUCUACUCUCCAUCACGAUCCAGUGCCACUGUUGGCAUUUUCCAGAAGUUUAUGUAAAUGGAGUCACAUGGCACAUCAUCUUUUGUGUCUGCGGCUGCG